rnacentral:lncRNA from 1 species
GAAAUACUACCCUAGUAUAUGGGUAGAUGCAUAGCCGACGGUGUGAUGCCUCGGACCGACAUAGCCAAUACCGAGGGUAUCACCUUUAGUCCAAAAAAAAAAGAAGGAAAAAAGGCAGACAUAUGGAUAGCUGAUGAAAUUGGAUGUGAUAUGGUCGAUGCAAUACAAGUCGCCCUUAGAACAAAUAAUACUUGCAAUAUUUGGAAUACAGAAGGUUAUUACAUCGAAG